AUUAUUAUUAAUGUAAAUUAGUCCUAAUUAGUAUUAGUUAUUUUCUUCAAAAUUAAAAGAUUUGGCGGUAUUUUAGUCUAUUCAGAGGAACCUGUCCCUUAAUUGAUAGUCCACAAUUAGAAUUACUUAAAUUAUAAAUAUGUAUAUCGUCGUUAUAAGAAAAUUUUAUAAGAAUUUAAAAUAUUUAAUAUUUAUUAUUUUAAAAUAUUUCAGAUCAUGGUGCAGUUUAUAUUUAAGAGGAGAUGGGUUACAAUAAUUUUAUUUAUACGGAUUUUUUGUUUAAAUAUGUUUAUGAAGGUGGAUUUGAAAGUAAAUAAAUUAAUUUAUUUUUUUUGAUUUUAGCUCUAAAAUAUGU
rnacentral:rRNA from 1 species